CUCCUCCCUCAGCCUCCUGAGUAGCUAGGAUUACAGUUGCCCGCAACCAAGCCCAGAUAAUUUUUGUAUUUUGAGUAGAGAUGGGGUUUCACCAUGAUGGUCAGGCUAGUCUCAAACUCCUGACUUCGUGAUCCGCUCACCUCGGCCUCCCAAAGUGCUGGGAUUACAGGUGUGAGCCACCGCACCCGGCCUAUUCUAUAUUUUUACUUAACCAUUUCUAUGUAUAGAUACACAAAUACUUACCAUUGUUACUGCCUAUAGUAUUCAGUACAGUAACAUGCUGUACAGGCUUGUAGCCUACGAGCAGUAGGCUCUAUCACAAAGCCUAGGUGUGUGUAGGCUAUACCAUCUAGUUUGCAUAAGUGCACUCUAUGAGGCUCACACAAUAAAACUGCCUAAGGGCUCAUUUUCAGAACGCAUCCCCAUUAAGAGAUGCAUGACUGUAUAAAGUUCUUCACCAUUCUUUUUUUUUUGAGACGGAGUUUCGCUCUUGUUGCCCAGGCUGGAGUGCAAUGGCGCGAUCACUGCUCGCUGCAACCUCCGCCUCCUGGUUUCAAGCGAUUCUCCUGCCUCAGCCUCCCGAAUAGCUGGGAUUACAGGCGUGCGCCACCAAGCCCGGCUAAUUUUGUAUUUUUAGUAGAAAGACAGUUUCACCAUGUUGGUCAGGCUGGUCUCAAACUCCUGACCUUAAGUGAUCCGCCCGCCUUGGCUUCCCAAAGUACUGAGAUUACAGCCAUGUGCCACUACACCCAGAUAAUUUUCUAUUUUUAGUAGAGAUGGGGGUUUCACUAUGUUGGUCAAGCUGGUCUCGAACUCCUGAUCUCAAGUGAUCCACCGCCUCUGCCUCCCACAGUGCUGGGAUUACAGGCGUGAGCCACUGUGCUUGUCCUUCUUCACCUAUUCUAAUCUUCUUUAAACAUUACCUUUUAAAGAAGGCUGUUCUUACCUUCUAAACAACUAUCUUUUUCCAGGGAGGCAGGUGCAAACUCUGCCAAGAAAUCCCAAGAAUGCAAAAAUACUUCUCAAUUUGUCUGUCUUUAAUAUUCAAAAGCAAAUUGCCCCUCACCAACUUCCAGCCCAGUCUCACUCAUGCUUUGUGGUGUGAACUGCAGGCUGAUUUUGAUUGUUGAGAGCAGUGCAAGGAAGACAAGUCUGGCCUUCCUUAUAUUAACAAAUGGCACUCACUGCAAUAGGACCUAUCUGGGACCAAUCCAAGCUGUCCAUGGACCCUAACUAGCUCCUUCCUGGUUGGGCAGAAGCCUCUGGAAACAGAGUAGGUUUAAGAUUUCAGAACAGGUCCUCAUUAUUUGCCAAAUUCUUUCUUCCCUUUGUAAACGAUUAUGCUAGUUUAAACACCAAAAGGGAGCCAGCCGGAGAGACAUUAAAAUGAGUAGCUUCAGUAAUGUAAAUAAUCCAUUACUUCAACUAGUUCUGCUUUAUUCCUACCACAGGCCUAAAAUUUGGCAAGGAAGUUGAGCAAGCCUGGCGGCAUAAGCCAGAGCUCACAAGAACUAGCCUAUCUCUGUGAAGGUGUGCAGUAAACACUUCACAUUAAAAUGGCCCAGUAACUUGGACAUUUUGGGAAGCCUGUACCCAAAGGGCAGGUGCAAGUUGGUGCCCAUAUUGGUAUAGAGGUAGCCAGUUAAGUGAGCAUUUAAUAGAGCCAGCUAUUUUGCGUGUAAGAAACCCAAGUGGGUCCUUGGGAGCCCAGGUGAAAAACUUCCCAUGUGUGGUAGAGGGAUAACCUAGGUUCAGUCAACAUCUAAAGAUCCCACUAUAGCCAACGAAGGCCUUAUUGUUACGGACUCCCAACUUCGUUUCGCCACCAGCCAGAAAGGCGGUAGGAAACAGGCUUGGUAAAAUAAACCCAAUAAGAACGAAUGAAAGAGACACACCAGACCACAGGCGCUGCCAAAACUCAUUUUUCAUUAACACGGGGUGGGGUCCCAGGCUCAGGGGCAGGCGGUGAGGCCUCUGGCAGCGAGGAGCCCACACAGUUACGCUCAGGGG
rnacentral:lncRNA from 10 species